UGGCUCACUUUUAGUUUUUGCUGAUUGCUAUCAGUUGUUUAUUAUCAACUUACUUCAAAUUAAAUACCAUAAAAUUUGAUUUGUCAUCAAAUAUUAUAUUUCCUGAAUUCAACAAACACUUUGUCCUUGUAAUUAAGUGCAGAAUUUAAAAUAGAAACCUCACAAGGACGGGCUGGAGUACGAAUAGUUCAACCCGGAUCUGUACAGCUUCAUGACAGGUAACAGGGAUG
rnacentral:lncRNA from 1 species